rnacentral:rRNA from 1 species
UUGAAAGGGAAACGAUUGAAGUCAGUCGUACCGACGAGAAAUCAACUUAUCGUGUGCGAACUUGUGGGCGUGCGUGAGUUUCGGCCUCGCUGUUUGCAUGUUUGUGCGUUUUGGGUGUACUUUUUCGUAUGGUAGGCCAACGUCAGUUUCGAUUAUCAUAAAAUGACCGGCGGAAUGUAGCUUCGACUUCGGUUGAAGUGUUAUAGCCUCUGGUAGAUGUGGUGAUUGGGACUGAGGAUUGCAACGAAUACCCUUCGGGGCUACCUGUCUGGUCUCUGAUCGUUGCUCUGGUGCCGAAAGCUUGCUUACGGUUAUCAAAGUCGAUGGUCAAUAGGUUAGAACGGGUUAAAUUCGUUAAGGAUGUUGACGUA